rnacentral:rRNA from 1 species
AUUGAACGCUGGCGGCAUGCCUUACACAUGCAAGUCGAACGGCAGCGCGGGGCAACCUGGCGGCGAGUGGCGAACGGGUGAGUAAUAUAUCGGAACGUGCCCUGGAGUGGGGGAUAACGCAGCGAAAGUUGCGCUAAUACCGCAUACGAUCUAAGGAUGAAAGCAGGGGACCGCAAGGCCUUGUGCUCCUGGAGCGGCCGAUAUCUGAUUAGCUAGUUGGGUGGGGGUAAGGACCGUA